GGGGGCGUAGCUCAUAUGGUAGAGCGAUCGCUUAGCAUGCGAGAGGUACGGGGAUUGAUCCCCCGUGCCUCCA